rnacentral:lncRNA from 1 species
CUAAAAAAGUCAACCAAGAUGCCCCAGCGAUCAACUACAUUAAAACCUUGUAAUUUCACUAAAUGGAUGUCAAAAACGAACUGGGGACGUUGAACUUAGCCCAGAAGGAUUUCCGAGAAAAUUUUGAAAAAGUCAACUAAUGGUCAACAGUUAACUUUAAAGGAAUAUUCUAUUCUCAUAUAGAAUAUUCUGUUAAAGUUACCCUCCAAAUCUAAAAUGGAUCUGUGUCGUAUCCGGGUUUGGGCCAGGUGGGAUCU